rnacentral:misc_RNA from 1 species
GAUGAAGAACGCAGCGAAAUGCGAAAAGUAAUGUGAAUUGCAGAAUUCAGUGAACCAUCGAAUCUUUGAACGCACAUUGCGCCCGCUGGAACUCCGGCGGGCACGCCUGUCCGAGCGUCAUUUCAACCCUCAGGCCCCCCUUCGCGGGCGGGCCUGGUGUUGGGGCCCGGCCGCUACCCUGCGGCCGUCCCCUAAAUUCAGUGGCGGCCUCGCCGUGAUCCCUUGCGUAGUAAUGCACCUCGCACCGGAGAGCGCCGUGGCCACGCCGUAAAACCCCCAAUUUUCAAUGGUUGACCUCGGAUCAGGUGGGAAUAACCGCUGAACUUAAGCAUAUCAAUAAGCGGAGGA